UACGUAGGGUGCGAGCGUUGUCCGGAAUUAUUGGGCGUAAAGGGCUCGUAGGCGGUUUGUCGCGUCGGGAGUGAAAUCCACUGGCUUAACUGGUGGCUUGCUUUCGAUACGGGCAGACUGGAGGUAUGCAGGGGAGAACGGAAUUCCUGGUGUAGCGGUGAAAUGCGCAGAUAUCAGGAGGAACACCGAUUGCGAAGGCAGCUCGCUGGGACGUUACUGACGCUGAGACGCGAAAGCGUGGGGAGCAAACAGG
rnacentral:rRNA from 1 species